rnacentral:rRNA from 1 species
GGACAAUGGGCGCAAGCCUGAUCCAGCAAUGCCGCGUGCAGGAUGAAGGCCUUCGGGUUGUAAACUGCUUUUGUACGGAACGAAAAGCCCUGGGUUAAUACCCUGGGGUCAUGACGGUACCGUAAGAAUAAGCACCGGCUAACUACGUGCCAGCAGCCGCGGUAAUACGUAGGGUGCGAGCGUUAAUCGGAAUUACUGGGCGUAAAGCGUGCGCAGGCGGUUUUGUAAGAUAGAGGUGAAAUCCCCGGGCUCAACCUGGGAACUGCCUUUGUGACUGCAAGGCUAGAGUACGGCAGAGGGGGAUGGAAUUCCGCGUGUAGCAGUGAAAUGCGUAGAUAUGCGGAGGAACACCGAUGGCGAAGGCAAUCCCCUGGGCCUGUACUGACGCUCAUGCACGAAAGCGUGGGGAGCAAACAGGAUUAGAUACCCUGGUAGUCCACGCCCUAAACGAUGUCAAUUGGUUGUUGGGUCUUAACUGACUCAGUAACGAAGCUAACGCGUGAAGUUGACCGCCUGGGGA